AAUUCUCUGGGAUGCAUGACAUGCGGCUCAGGCUGUAACCAACACACAGUUUGCGCGCCCCUGGUCAAAGUCGUGGUGAGCCAGCCUGCCACCGAGCAGGACGCCUGAAGCGAUUUUCAAGGAUAGCGCUAAUUUCCCCAAGGUUCCACUCUGAAGCAGCGGCCGGCAUCCCGGAGAGACA
rnacentral:other from 1 species